GCGGAUGUAGCUCAACAGGCAGAGCUCGGCCACGCCAUGGCCAGGACGCGAGUUCGACCCUCGCCAUUCGCUCCA
rnacentral:tRNA from 1 species